rnacentral:misc_RNA from 1 species
UGCUAGGAAAGCAGGAUUAAGAUUCGUAUCUUAAUCAUUUCGGAGUUUCUAAGUCGGAAAAAAAAAUAAUGCUUUGUGAGCCUUCAUUUUGCAUUGUAUUGUUCUUGAGUUUCUAGCUGGUGUGAGACAAUUUGUGUCCUAUUUUAUGCUAUCUUCAAUGCAGAGUUUCUCUAAGAAAUCGCCUUAUGGAAUAUAUUUAUAUAUUUUAUAGGAGAAG